GUCGAGAAUCUUUCACAAUGGGGGCAACCCUGAUGGAGCGACGCCGCGUGGAGGAUAAGGUCUUCGGAUUGUAAACUCCUGUCAUGCGUGAACAAGGUUGCUUGGUUAAUACCUGGGCAAAUUGAUGGUAACGCAAGAGGAAGAGACGGCUAACUCUGUGCCAGCAGCCGCGGUAAUACAGAGGUCUCAAGCGUUGUUCGGAAUCACUGGGCGUAAAGGGUGCGUAGGUGGCGUGGUAAGUCAGAUGUGAAAGCCCGGGGCUCAACCUCGGAACUGCAGCCGAUACUGCCAUGAUAGAGUACUGGAGAGGUGACUAGAAUUCUCGGUGUAGCAGUGAAAUGCGUAGAUAUCGAGAGGAAUACCAAAGGCGUAGGCAGGUCACUGGACAGUUACUGACACUGAGGCACGAAGGCCAGGGGAGCGAACGGGAUUAGAUACCCCUGUAGUCC
rnacentral:rRNA from 1 species